rnacentral:ncRNA from 1 species
AUCGUGAGGUGGAAUCUGAAGGAAGAUGGAGGCAAAUCUCUGGUCUGAUGAACAGAAUCACAUUAGGCUAUAGUUAAGGAUAAGGUUGCAAUACAAACCGAAGUCCAAUAACUACUCGUAAUUAACUAUGGUAAAUGUGGCAGAUGUAUGGAGAGAAAGAAAC